rnacentral:rRNA from 1 species
GAUGAACGCUGGCGGCGUGCCUAAUACAUGCAAGUCGAGCGAACGGACGAGAAGCUUGCUUCUCUGAUGUUAGCGGCGGACGGGUGAGUAACACGUGGAUAACCUACCUAUAAGACUGGGAUAACUUCGGGAAACCGGAGCUAAUACCGGAUGAUAUUUUGAACCGCAUGGUUCAAAAGUGAAAGACGGUCUUGCUGUCACUUAUAGAUGGAUCCGCGCUGCAUUAGCUAGUUGGUAAGGUAACGGCUUACCAAGGCAACGAUGCCUAGCCGACCUGAGAGGGUGAUCUGCCACACUAGAACUGAGACACGGUCCAGACUCCUACGUGAGGCAGCAGUAGGGAAUCUUCCGCAAUGGGCGAAAGCCUGACGGAGCAACGCCGCGUGAGUGAUGAAGGUCUUCGGAUCGUAAAACUCUGUUAUUAGGGAAGAACAUAUGUUUAAGUAACUGUGCACAUCUUGACGGUACCUAAUCAGAAAGCCACGGCUAACUACGUG